rnacentral:rRNA from 1 species
CAAUGGGCGCAAGCCUGAUCUAGCCAUGCCGCGUGUGUGAUGAAGGUCUUAGGAUCGUAAAGCACUUUCGCCAGGGAUGAUAAUGACAGUACCUGGUAAAGAAACCCCGGCUAACUCCGUGCCAGCAGCCGCGGUAAUACGGAGGGGGUUAGCGUUGUUCGGAAUUACUGGGCGUAAAGCGUACGUAGGCGGAUUGGAAAGUUGGGGGUGAAAUCCCAGGGCUCAACCCUGGAACUGCCUCCAAAACUAUCAGUCUAGAGUUCGAGAGAGGUGAGUGGAAUUCACAAGUGUAAAGGUGAAAUUCGUAGAUAUUUGGAGGAACACCAGUGGCGAAGGCGGCUCACUGGCUCGAUACUGACGCUGAGGUACGAAAGUGUGGGGAGCAAACAGGAUUAGAUACCCUGGUAGUCCACACCGUAAACGAUGAAUGCCAGUCGUCGGGCAGUAUACUGUUCGGUGACACACCUAACGGAUUAAGCAUACCGCCUGGGGAGUACGGUCGCAAGAUUAAAACUC